rnacentral:rRNA from 1 species
AGUAGUUUGACUCCGUGGCUCGAGGACGAACGCUGGCGGCGUGCUUAACACAUGCAAGUCGAACGGGGAUUAAUUGAUUGAGAGCUUCGGCAGGAUAUUGAUUAAUUCUAGUGGCGGACGGGUGAGUAACGCGUGAGCAAUCUGUCCCAGACAGGGGGAUAACACUUGGAAACAGGUGCUAAUACCGCAUGAGACCACGAAGCGGCAUCGCUUUGAGGUAAAAGGAGCAAUCCGGUUUGGGGUGAGUUCGCGUCCGAUUAGAUAGUUGGUGAGGUAACGGCCCACCAAGUCGACGAUCGGUAGCCGACCUGAGAGGGUGAUCGGCCACAUUGGAACUGAGAGACGGUCCAAACUCC